rnacentral:rRNA from 1 species
CCAGAGAACUUAGCAGAGAUGCUUCGGUGCCUUCGGGAACUCUGAGACAGGUGCUGCAUGGCUGUCGUCAGCUCGUGUUGUGAAAUGUUGGGUUAAGUCCCGCAACGAGCGCAACCCUUAUCCUUUGUUGCCAGCGGCUCGGCCGGGAACUCAAAGGAGACUGCCGGUGAUAAACCGGAGGAAGGUGGGGAUGACGUCAAGUCAUCAUGGCCCUUACGGCCAGGGCUACACACGUGCUACAAUGGCGCAUACAAAGAGAAGCGACCUCGCGAGAGCAAGCGGACCUCAUAAAGUGCGUCGUAGUCCGGAUUGGAGUCUGCAACUCGACUCCAUGAAGUCGGAAUCGCUAGUAAUCGUAGAUCAGAAUGCUACGGUGAAUACGUUCCCGGGCCUUGUACACACCGCCCGUCACACCAUGGGAGUGGGUUGCAAAAGAAGUAGGUAGCUUAACCUUCGGGAGGGCGCUUACCACUUUGUGAUUCAUGACUGGGGUGAAGUCGUAACAAGGUAAGCGUAGCGAG